GACGAACGCUGGCGGCGUGCUUAACACAUGCAAGUCGAACGAUGAACUUGGAGCUUGCUCUGGGGGAUUAGUGGCGAACGGGUGAGUAACACGUGAGUAACCUGCCCUGGACUCUGGGAUAACUUCGAGAAAUCGGAGCUAAUACCGGAUAGGACCUUGCACCGCAUGGUGUGGGGUGGAAAGUUUUUCGUUUUGGGAUGGACUCGCGGCCUAUCAGCUUGUUGGUGAGGUAAUGGCUCACCAAGGCGGCGACGGGUAGCCGGCCUGAGAGGGGUACCAGCCACAAUGGACCUGAGACACGGCCCAGACUCCUACGGGAGGCAGCAGUGGGUAAUAUUGCACUAUGGGCGCAAGCCUGAUGCAGCAACGCCGCGUGCGGGAUGACGGCCUUCGGGUUGUAAACCGCUUUUAGUAGGGAAGAAGCCUUCGGGUGACGGUACCUGCAGAAAAAGGACCGGCUAACUACGUGCCAGCCGCCGCGGUAACAC
rnacentral:rRNA from 1 species